CCCUUAGAUGUUCUGGGCAGCACGCGCGCUACAAUGGUCUUCGCAAACGGAUGCAUUCUCGAAGGAGAAUGCCAAUCUUGGAAUCUAUGCCUUGGUCGGGACAGUUGCUUGCAAUUUUUCGACUCGAACCUGGAAUUCCUUGUAAUCGUGAUUCAUCACAUCACGAUGAAUACGUCCCUGCCCUUUGUACACACCGCCCGUCGCUCCUACCGAUCGAAGAGUUAGGUGAAUUGUUUUGAUCGAUAAGAUUUGACUAUGGUCAACUCUCGUUGUGAAAUUCUGUGAAUCUGACUGUUUAGAGGAAGGAAAAGUCGUAACA
rnacentral:rRNA from 1 species